GAUGAACGCUGGCGGCGUGCUUAACACAUGCCAGUCGAACGAGAAGUGGAGACGGAAACCUUCGGGCGGAAGACUUUAUUUCGAGUGGCGGACGGGUGAGUAACGCGUGGGUAACCUGCCUCAUACAGGGGGAUAACAGUUGGAAACGACUGUUAAUACCGCAUAAGACCACAGCACCGCAUGGUGCGGGGGUAAAAACUCCGGUGGUAUGAGAUGGACCCGCGUUCGAUUAGCCAGUUGGCGGGGUAACGGCCCACCAAAGCGACGAUCGAUAGCCGAUCUGAGAGGAUGACCGGCCACAUUGGGACUGAGACACGGCCCAAACUCCUACGGGAGGGAGCAGUGGGGAAUAUUGCACAAUGGGGGAAACCCUGAUGCAGCGACGCCGCGUGAGUGAAGAAGUAUUUCGGUAUGUAAAGCUCUAUCAGCAGGGAAGAAAAUGACGGUACCUGAGUAAGAAGCCCCGGCUAACUACGUG
rnacentral:rRNA from 1 species